rnacentral:lncRNA from 1 species
UCUGAACUCAGACCUCAGGCCUCAGAAAGAAGUGCCAGCAGAUUUACUUCCCUCUGUCAUAACCAGGCCAGGACUUUUUUGAUGAUCAUUGCAAGAUAAUGUCUGUAUUCUUCACUUAAAGUGGACUGAGUAGAGAGGAGAGAAGAUUGCAUCUUUGAUUUGAGGAGCAGAAGGCUUGUAAGUCAAAAAUUCAUGCUUACUUGCAAGAGUUCCCACUUAGAGUGACUUCAAAAUACAAUAGAG